GCUGCUCGCGCCUCCCGCCCCGCCCGCGCGCGCNGGGGGGGGGGGGGGGGGGGGGGGGAGUCGAGGAGGGGCCGCGCCCGGUCCUCGCCCGCAGCGGGCACCGCCGGGGGCCCCGGGAGGCCUUGUUGGUAUUCCGGGCACAGCAGAAGCCCUGACCUCCCCGCGGAACAGGGGCGCCCGGGAGCGCGGCGCGGCCGCCGCCCCCGGGCGGUCUCCCCGGACUGCGGGGCCGUAGGCGCCUUGCUCCCCCUCCUCCCUGUCCCCUCCUCUCCAGGUCCCCCGUACCCCCUCCCCCGGCCUGAUCCGGCGGCGAAGGGGUGGGCAGGGAAACGCGCUCUCUGGGACAGGUGCCAACUCCGAGACAAAAGACAUAAAAUAGGCGGCAACGGGGGAAGCGCGGCCGGCGCGCUCGGGCGGGGACGGAGGCGCCGCGGGGGCCGCAUCCUCGGUGCCGACCGGGGAAAGUUUGGGAAGUCGCCGCGGCGGCUUCGCAGCGGCGGGGGACACGCGGGCCGGGCCGCCCUCCGCGCCGCGCUCGCCCUCUCCGCGCCGCUGCUGAAUAAUUCAUGGCGCGGCCGCCGGCCAUUAGCAUGCACCGGGCGCGCGGCGCGUCUGUGCCCAGCCGUCGCCGCCGCAUUCGGCGCCCCGGCCGCGCUAGACGAGCGGCCGCGCAGAGGCCGGGCCCGCGCCGUCCCCGCGCUCGCCCGCCCGUCCGCCCGUCCGCCCACCCGGCGGCUCCCAUUGUGCCCCAGGCCCGCGCCGCUCCGCCGUCCUGUGACCGCCUGCGCCCCGCAGCGCGCCCGACGGCCGGCCGCUGGAAGUUCGGGCCCGCGGCGCACGCCCUGCCGCCCCGGGAUGCACGUGAACUUGGAGAAAGUCUCGGGGCGCGCCGGCGCAGACCUCCGCGGCAGGGCGUGGGCGCCCCUGGCCCCGCGCGCUUUCGUUUUCGUCUGGGACAAAGGUCCCUCGCGGCGCAGGUCGCGGACGUGGAGGCAGUGCCCUGCGGGCCACUCAGCGGGGAGGUCCGGUCGUUCAGUCAAGGGAAGCCGGAGCCUGGAGAAGACGAGCCGCGCGGUCGGAGGCGCGGUGCGGGACCAGGACAGUGGGGCCUGGCCGUGCGCUUCGCCCUGGCGGUCCAGGAGCUGUCUCGCCCUCCGAAGAGUUACGGGAGGUGGCACUGCUUUUGCUCUCUGCCCUUUCGACACGUGAAGGAGAGAAUCAUUCGGAACCCAGGACUCAGACCGGUGGCCGAGGGCCUGUGCAGCCGCGAGCACGACAGCGCAGCGCUGGCCGCGUCCGCGCGCGUUCCUCCGACAAGGGCAGAGCAGUCGACCAGCGCGCCCCAGUCUCGAUCGGGUUCAAGGCGACUCUUGAGGACGGUGGCUGACACACGGGCCCAGCCGGCAGCCCUGGGGAAUUUGUGGGGAGCAAGAAAGGGGUGA
rnacentral:lncRNA from 1 species